CCUCACUUUCUUCCAGGUUAAACUUUCAGAGGUGGUCUCUACGGUUAUGGUUAUGACAACUGAAUUAUGACAUGUCACCUCUAAUGGAUUAUAGUGUUGCCCAUGUCGUGGUUCGAUCAGCAAAUUUAUGGCGUUAUGGUAGCGGCACCUCUACUUUGGCCUGAAGUUGGCUGUGGUCAAACUAAGUGCGUUCAUAAAAAAGUGUAUUUUAAUAUGUGACAGGUGUUGUCUGGCGUCAAAGUGGUAUUACUAUAAUUUUGAUAGACUGCAUAUUUUCGUCAGCUGUUUUUUUGUUUACAAAUGGCGAUUGCAAAGCGUCGUGAUCACUUAUGGAAGUUUUGAUUUCGAAUUCAUAGUAAUUAUAACCAAUCAAUGCAAUUAGCUCAUUUUAACUGUAACCACAAAUGUUGAUAUUGUAGUGAUAUAUGCCUGUACAUAUGAAUAUCUCUUAACAUAUUGGACACUCGAUGUUUAUGUGUUUUCCUCCCACUUUGUUAUUGAAUGAAUUAAAAUGCAGAUAUUUUGUAUGGAUAUAGAGAAGGAGUUAAAUGGAAUCGCAAGGGAAUUGAUCAAGUUACAUUAACACGUGAAAAAUGACGAAACAUUUAUCAAAUUCAUGAAAGAUAUGUUCAAUUUCGAUUGUGCAUCAGACGUUAAUAAGUCAACAACACUAAGAGACAACAUCAUCGAUUUGCCUUUUUCAAGACACUUUACACUCGAAACACUCCCUUUCAUUUCCUACUUUUUCUAUCAUCGUCCUAUUCUCAACAGAGAAAUGGUUCAUUACCAUGCCCACGGGAAGAAGGCAUAUGCAAAUACAAAUAUGUGAAUUUAUAUACAAAUGCGCAUAUACAUACAUACAUAUGCUCACUCAAGUAGGUGUGCAGAUGUCGAACGUUGCCGAAUGCGGGGGCCGAUUGUGCAAGGUAACGACGCACGAGCAAGAUAACGACGAAUGAGCAAGAUAACGGCGAUUGAGCAAGAUAACGACGAUUGAGCAAGAUAACGACACAUUUUUUCGUACGUGCAGCCGGCUAAAUCGAAUUAUAAGACGUUAUCACGGCAAAAUCUUAAAUAUCCUAACUGUUACCGAACUGUUCAGCAACUUUUAUAAACCCUUUUGCGUUUUUGGCCGAGCUCCUCCUCUUAUUUGUGAUGAGUGUCUUGGUGUUGCUCCGCCCAUGGAGGGACCUACAGUAUUAAGCCAACUCCGAACGACAGAUAUUUUUGAUGAGGAGCUUUUUCAUGACAGAAAUACACUCGGAGGUUUGCCAUUGCUUGCCGAGGGUGAACGCUAUUAGAAAAACUUUUUUUUUUAUCACUUUGCUGUUUCAUACACGGACAUUUGAACCUACACACUUCCAACCCAAUCGGGCACAGGGGUCGCCGAAAUGAAAUAUUUGCCUUGAAACGUCGAGUUUCCCGCACUUUGCUCUGAACCACCGA